rnacentral:rRNA from 1 species
UACGGAGGGUGCAAGCGUUAAUCGGAAUCACUGGGCGUAAAGGGUGCGUAGGCGGGUCUUUAAGUCAGGGGUGAAAUCCUGGAGCUCAACUCCAGAACUGCCUUUGAUACUGAAGAUCUUGAGUUCGGGAGAGGUGAGUGGAACUGCGAGUGUAGAGGUGAAAUUCGUAGAUAUUCGCAAGAACACCAGUGGCGAAGGCGGCUCACUGGCCCGAUACUGACGCUGAUGCACGAAAGCGUGGGGAGCAAACAGG